rnacentral:rRNA from 1 species
UCAGGAUGAACGCUAGCGGAAGGCUUAAUACAUGCAAGUCGAGGGGCAGCAUGGCCGACAUUAGUUGGCUGAUGGCGACCGGCGGACGGGUGAGUAACGCGUACAGACCUGCCUUUACUACGGGAUAGUGUUGGGAAACUGGCAGUAAUACCGUAUGGUCCCGCCUUGUGCGGGUAAAGUUACGGCGGUAGAAGAUGGCUGUGCGUCUGAUUAGCUAGUUGGUACGGUAGUGGCGUACCAAGGCGACGAUCAGUAGGGGGCGUGAGAGCGUGGUCCCCCACACGGGUACUGAGACACGGACCCGACUCCUACGGGAGGCAGCAGUAAGGAAUAUUGGGACAANUNGGCCCGGAAGGGUUGAUCCANGCCAUUCCGCGUGGAGCGAAGAACGUGCCUUAUGGGUUGCUAAAACUCCUUUUUAGCAUUGGCGAAGAAACCCUGAAUAUAAAUCUGGGCUGACGGUACCAUCAGAAUAAGCACCGGCUAACUCCGUGCCCAGCAGCCCGCGUGUAAUACGGAGUGGUGCAAGCGUUAUCCGCGAAUCACUGGGGUUUUAAAGGCGUGCGUAGGCGGUUGAAUAAGUCAGAGGUGAAAUGCUGCAGCUUAACUGUAGAAAUUGCCUUUGAUACUUGGUUUAACUUGAAUCGAGGACUUUGAGGGUAGGCGGGAAAUGUGACAAGUAGCGGUGAAAUGCAUAGAUAUGUCAUAGAAGGCCGAUUGCGAAGGCCAGNUUACUAGGCUUAGAUUGACGCUGAGGCACGAAAGUGUGGGGAGCGAAACACGAUUAGAUACCCUGGUAAGUCACGCUGUAAACCGAUGCUAACUCGUCGUGUGGAUCGAAGAUUUGCGCGGCCAAGGGACACCGAUAAGUUACCCCACUGGGGAAUACGUUCGCAAGAAAUGAAACUCAAAGGAAUUGACGGGGGUCCGGACACAAGCGGUGGAGCAUGUGGUUUAAUUCGAUGA